rnacentral:lncRNA from 1 species
AGGCUUGAUGGAGGCCCUACAGUGACUAUUCAUUGGCUGAGCCUUUGGAUUAUCUUGGGAGGACCCUGAAAGAAUGACCUGGCCGGAAGAUUGUCCCAUCCUGCAUGAGGUCAGGAUCACUAACUCAAGUCAGGGAGGAAAUAGACACCAGCAUUUCAGCUGUGCCUGACUUGAAUGGUCACAGAGGACUUGAUACUUUGUGCCUUUUCUUUGCUCUGAAAACCUUGGACCACUUGGUGCCUCUGUUCUGUUUCAUGCCUUGUGUCCUACACAGAGUUACAUUAUCAAGUAAACAUCCUCCAAGUUCUGUUGGUGACAUUGUCCACAGAUGAUGCCCAAGCUUUUAUAUUUGUUAGAAAGCCUUCUAUUCACAAGGCAGAUGACUCGUGAGUCACAUGUACUCAGAUGACUUCUUGUUAACCAAUCACCUAAUGACAGAAGGAACCAAUCACUGGGUGAGUAGGCGGGACUUCUGGGUUGCACAGAGGAAGAGAGGAAGCAGGAGAGAGUUAGGCCCCUUUUUGGAUGAGGAUAGUUUGAGGACAAAUAUAGCUACAAGUGUCUCCCAGUUUCAGUGGUGGAUCCAUCAGGAGGAUUUAGAUUUAAUAAGACUUAUAAGAUUAGGAUUUUAGUUGCUGUGCCCAGAGUUUGAGUUACCAUCGUGAGGGAAGAAUGAGCCUCACUCUACACCCAGAAUGCCAACUACAUUUUCAUCCAGUCCUCAAAAAAUAUCA